AUUUUUAAUAGAAAAACAAAGAGACAGAUGUCAAAUGCUGGCUUGGGAAAAAAAACAUUUUUGUCUUGUUUAAAAUCCUAAAAAGCAAUUGUAAUAUUUUUUACUUUAUAAAAUUUAACUGUAUAAUUAAUCAAAUAAAUGCAGAUAAAUGGUGAGAGACUCUCAAAAACAUUUUUUCAAAAUUUACUGACCCAAACUUUUGAAUGGUAGUGCAGACAGAUUCAGUUCUGAAUUUUGCUCAAGUCUUGUUUGAAAAUACAAAUGGAUUCAGAUGAGCCUGAAGCAUGCAAAACACCAACGCUACAGUGCAAUUUGUAAACACUCUGUGUGCAGAUAAACUUUGACAGAUGGUUUAUAUAUUCACGUUACAUGGCUGGAAUAUUAAUAUCUUGACAGACUUGCAUGACAGAAGUGACUUAUCACAUGUUCCAGCUACCUUUGAACUAUCAACUGUUGCAUGAACCCACUAAGCUCAGUGAUCUCUGAAAUGAUGAAACUGACCUCAGGCUCACUUCUCACGCAUGACUUUUGCCCACCUCAUUCUCUCUUUGUAGCCCUUAACCCCUGAAAGACUGUCUCUCACUACACAGACUGUCCCAGGUAAAGAGUGUCAGGGUCCAGCCCGCCUGAUGGAUUGAGAAGUCCUCAUCUUCUGAUCUGCCCUGCAAAUAGUUUCUCAGUCCUUUUUUCUGGAAAGCCUGACAGAUGAUGCUUCCCGAGGAAGAGGAAGGAGAAAAAGAAUAUGUUACCAUCUCAAUUUCCCCUCCUUUUUCAUUGUGAUUGAUUUUCCCUUAGAGGAAUGGUGACAGAUAGAUGAAGUUAUAUCCAUUUCUGCUCGUCCUAUUCAUUGCCCUCCAGAGAUUCAAUCAAAAUUUUAAGCUCCCUUAUUUACGCUUCUUCUCUCCCUUUUGAAUUCACACAUAAGUGGAGGUCAUGAAGGUGCAAAGUGAACAGAUAACAGACACAAAUUCUGAUGCCACCGCCAUUACUGCAGUCAAAUAAUAACAAUUACCAUAAUGUGCCUGUCAAGUGUUAAUCUUUUCUUUAAUUUAGUCUGAUUUCUCACAAAUCCACUGGGGUUUUCUUCAGCUUCUGGUGCUUCUAUUUCAGGGGUCGAUUUUUUUUUUUUUUUUGUGUACUUAUGUUUAUUUGAAGGGCACAUUAAAAUGUCAAUUUAUGUUUGUUAUUUUUCAAUUUUGUUUUUGUAAAAAUAUUUUAUGAUUUUACCCAUAGCCCAGGUGAAGAAUUUCUUAAAAUAUGAAAAUCCAUCACAAAAGGUGCAGAAAUAAGAAAAUGCUGUAAUGCUCUUUACGGUAACAGCAGACUGCAGCUGUCUUUCUAUUCCACAUCAGAGCAGUCAAGCGAAACCAGUCCCCUCAUGCUUUGUCCUAUCAAGCCUGAUGGCACACAAAGCUUACUGUCAGGCAGGUUUUUUUAAUUUAUUUUUUUGUCUAUUAAAGGAUAGUCCACCAAAAAAUGACAAAUCUGUCAUCAUUUACUUGUUCAUUUAAAACCUGCAUGAUUUUCUUUUGCUCACCACAGGCCAUCCAAGAUGUAAAUGAGGUUGUAGUGAAUGGGUGCCAUCAGAAUGAGCGUCCAAACAAUUGAUAAAAACAAUACAAUAAUCCACAAGUAAUCCACAUGACUACAGUCCAUUAAUUAACAUCUUGUGAAGCAAAAAGCUGUGUGUUUGCAAGAAACAAAUCCAUCAAGAUGUUUUUUUUUAAUGACCAUUUAACUAUGAUACUGCUUUUUCCAGUCAGAUAGUCAUCUAAAAGUUGUCUGAAUCAGGAAAGAAAUAUGCAGCGAUCAAACACCAAUUAAAACAAUUCUAAACAAAUAUGUUGGUGGAUUUUUAUGUGAGAGGACAAAAGGGGAUGGACUGUUUUGUUUUUUUAUUUUUAUUUUUUUUUGCUGAAGUUUGUUUUGGAUUAUGGAUUAAAGCUAAAAUGAUUUAAUGAUUAAUUUGUUUAUUAAAAAUAUACAGCUUUUCACUAUACAAGACAUUCAUUCAUGAACAGGAGUCGUGUGGAUUAUUGUGAUGUUUUUGUCAGCUGUUUGGGCUCUCAUUCUGAUGGCACCCAUUCACUGCAGAGGAUCCAACUCAUCUACAUCUUGGAUAUCCUAAAUUUUCAUAUUUACGUGAACUAUUCCUUUAACUCGGAAACCACUGCAGUUAGAUCAGAUUUUGUGAGAUGCAGCUGGGUUUGUACUUGGGUCUGAAACUGUGAUAGCCAUUGACUGAAGAUCAGUUUAUCUGCUGACGAUUUUGGGUUAGUUUCCCGUAAUGUUAAUCCUCUUCCAGACUCUGGCGACUUUGUGUAUAUCUUUAACCCCCUUGUCCUCUGUGUCAUGGUAAUGUGCUACAUUGCAGAAUGCAGCUUUGAGCUCUGUGCCCACAUCUCUGCUUUCAGUGCUUUGAGCUCUGUGACCACAUCUCUGCUUUCAGUGUAUGCCUAUGACCACAGUGUUUCCCUUACCAAAGUCAUCCAUGAAAUUCUGCUAUUUAUGCAUAAGGGUAUACAAUUUAAUUGAUAAGAAAAGCUGUGGAGAAAAAAAAACUGCAGCGUUUACUGAAAAAGAAAAAGAAAGCCAAUGUCACCUAGUUUUAUGAGAUCUGCAAUGCCACAGCUUCUGAAAGAUUGUCGAAGUGCAAAGUAGAUCAUUUAGAUACAAUUAAGAUACUCGGAGCAAAAAGUCCUACUUUAGUGUUACAGAGAUACAGAGAUCCAU
ensembl:lncRNA